UACGGGAGGCUGCAGUGGGGAAUAUUGCACAAUGGGCGCAAGCCUGAUGCAGCGACGCCGCGUGAGGGAUGACGGCCUUCGGGUUGUAAACCUCUUUCAGCAGGGACGAAGCUUUCGGGUGACGGUACCUGCAGAAGAAGCACCGGCCAACUACGUGCCAGCAGCCGCGGUAAUACGUAGGGUGCGAGCGUUGUCCGGAAUUACUGGGCGUAAAGAGCUCGUAGGCGGUUUGUCGCGUCGUCUGUGAAAUUCUGCAGCUUAACUGCAGGCGGGCAGGCGAUACGGGCAGACUUGAGUACUACAGGGGAGACUGGAAUUCCUGGUGUAGCGGUGAAAUGCGCAGAUAUCAGGAGGAACACCGGUGGCGAAGGCGGGUCUCUGGGUAGUAACUGACGCUGAGGAGCGAAAGCGUGGGUAGCGAACAGGAUUAGAUACCCUAGUAGUC
rnacentral:rRNA from 1 species